rnacentral:lncRNA from 1 species
AUGUAUAUUCAUUUUCAGAAUCUUUUCCCUUAUAGGUUAUCACAAAAUAUUGAGCAUAGCUCCCUGCAGGUCCUUGCCACCUGGAGUCCUGGAAUGGGGACAGCUGGAUUUUGUAGCCUCUCUCUCCCUUCUUUGCAGAUUCUCUGGAUAGAGACACGGAAAUUUCACAGGCUGACUCUGGGUCAAGCCAUGCGAAACAGAAGUUCUUUGUGGAGCCAGUUUCUGUUCUGUUCAGCAGUUCACACGUUUACUUCCAGCUCCAAGGUCCCCUGGCCGGACCCUGAAGAACCUUCCACGCAGGUUGACAUAGUCACUGCCGCUGUCCCAGAAGCAGGGUGUCUCCUUCCAGUUCACUGCUGUUCCUUUUUAGCUUUUUGCCCUUGGAUUGGUUGGUUGCUCUCGACAACAAUUUGGGGCAUUUAAAUGAUAAUGUGGAUAUCAACAUAUUCUAAGAAUUCAGAAAGCAUCAAAAUAAUGACAAUAUUCACAAAGGCUGCACAAGAUGGCUUUAUUUUUGAGGAUGUAGUGAAACUCCAGCCUUCCGUACUGCUGAUCCUUCCACCAAAUUCAGUCGUACUUCAGAGGAUUACAAAGAACUUGGCAACAGAGUGCUGGGAGGUAAAUAUGUCUUUAAAGCUGAGCUGGGUUGAGGGAGAACAGGGACAGCUUUUUUUUUUUUUUUUUUCUUUCCCAUUAUUAUGGUAAUGUUUGGAUAUCUGAGGGGAACUGAUGGGGCAUAAAAACCCAGUCUAAUUUCUUAGGCAACCAGUCAUACCCAUUUGACAAUGUUUUCUCCUGUCCUUAUAGUAUUCUUUCUAGUUCUGGCCCUUUUUUCAAAGUGUUAGAUUGCUACCCUAAUUUACUUCAGAAUGCAUACUAGAAAGACUGUGAUUUAUUGCUCAGUGUCUACUGUUUAUGACCUUGUGUUUGUCAAUAGCCAAGAUCAGUUUUCGUCAUGUUAGUAAGAGAAGUUUAAGAUGUGAAUGAGAUGUCAAAAUUCCCUUUCCCCUGGUUUCUUCUGUGUUAUUUGCUACAAAAUUUUCAGUGGGAGUUCAAGAGUGAAGAGAUAUAAAUAACCAAGGAGCAUGUAGUCAGUUUGUGAAUGACGAAGAAAGUUAAUGAUAUAUUGUGUUUCAUUCUUUUAACAGCAAUUUCCAUCUGAGCAUCUUAGCAUUUUAGAACUAAUGAGUAUUAACAGAUAAAGAUGUAUUAUUACAUUAAACAUAAUCAGUAUGUUAGAAAUAUACUAAUGUGAGUUCCCGUCGUGGCUCAGUGGUUAACAAACCCGACUAGUAACCCUGAUCUCUGGCCUCACUCAGUGGAUUAAGGAUCUGUCGUUCCCAGGAGCUGUGGUCUAGGUCGCAGAUGUGGCUCGGAUCCCGCAUUGCUGUGGCUCUGGUGUAGGCCAGUGGCUACAGAGCUGGUUAGACCCGUAGCCUGGGAGCCUCCAUAUGCCAUGGAUGCAGCCCUAGAAAAGACAAAAAGACGAAAAAAAAUAUAUAUAUAUAUACUAAUGGACAAAAACUGUCUUUGUGGUAAUAGCAGGAUCCGGCACCAUAUGCCAUAGGACUCAGGAUGAGUCUUGCCCACUUGCGUGUCAGGUAAUAGGCAUACAGACUUUGGUUGCAGCUGUAUGGGCCAUGAAACAGCUCAAUCCUUCUCAGCCAUGGUCUUGGAACCAUGGAAAAUACUGGAAGACACUGUUUUAGGCAAUCACCCAAGGAUGAGAGAGACUUUGUGGAAGUCCAGGUUUCUGGAGGAGAAGUUCUAGCACACUGUUGGAGCAAAAACGUGUGUUUGGACACAGUGGAGAGGGUAAAAAGAACAACUUGACUUUAUCCACACAAAGCCUCCCCCAGGGUAGCACAACUUAGAGCCAAGGGAGAACAUUUCAGCCUUUGCUUUCUCUUGUGAGGAAAAAAAUGAGAGCACGUGAGUGAGUACCUGGCUUCCUCUGUUGUGUGGGAUGCCGCCAAAGAGGCUCAUUUUUCUCUCACCCCAUACAGAGUACUGUAUCAUGAGCUGCAUGACUUGGGAAUGGGAAAAGGCUGGAGAGUGGCAGGCAGAACUCAGACAAGGCAUAAAAGGCUGUGGAUCCUACUAACUUUGUUAUGGACUCCAUCAAAAGCCCACUGAUGAGCUGCUGGGAAUGCCUCAUCUAUGGAUCCCCCACAGCUGGCCCACAGGCACCUCACUCAUACACUCCCUCAACCUGUGGCCAGCUCACUCAGAAAACUAAAAAUAGAAUUACCACUUGAUCCAGCAAUCCCACUCCUGAGCAUCUAUCAGAGAAAACCGUAACUUGAAAAGAUACAUGCACUGCAAUGUUCAUUACAGCACUAUUUGCAAUAGCCAAGAUGUGAAAACAACCUCAGUGUCCAUGAACAGAGGAGUGGAUCAAGAAGACGUGGUACAUAUACACAUUGGAAUAUUACCCAGCCAUUAAAAGGAAAGAAAUAGCAGCAUUUUUAGCAACAUGGAUGGACCUAGAAAUUAUCAUGCUAAGCGAAGUCAGUCAGUGAGACACCAACAUCAGAUGCUCUCACUUACAUGUGGAAUCUAAAAAAAGGACACAGGAGUUCCCGUCGUGGCGCAGUGGUUAACGAAUC